GAUGAACGCUAGCGGCAGGCCUAACACAUGCAAGUCGAGGGAGGAGCUUUCGGGCUUCGACCGGCGUACGGGUGCGUAACGCGUAUACAAUCUGCCUUUCACAUAGGGAUAGCCCGAAGAAAUUUGGAUUAAUACCUAAUGGUAUAUAGGAGUGGCAUCACAUUUAUAUUAAAGCUAAGGCGGUGAAAGAUGAGUAUGCGUUCUAUUAGCUAGUUGGAGAGGUAACGGCUCCCCAAGGCGACGAUAGAUAGGGGUUCUGAGAGGGAUAUCCCCCACACUGGUACUGAGAUACGGACCAGACUCCUACGGGAGGCAGCAGUGAGGAAUAUUGGACAAUGGUCGGAAGACUGAUCCAGCCAUGCCGCGUGCAGGAAGACGGCCUUAUGGGUUGUAAACUGCUUUUGCAGGGGAAGAAUAAGGGCUACGCGUAGUUUGAUGACGGUACUCUGCGAAUAAGCAUCGGCUAACUCCGUGCCAGCAGCCGCGGUAAUACGGAGGAUGCGAGCGUUAUCCGGAAUCAUUGGGUUUAAAGGGUCCGUAGGCGGGCUAAUAAGUCAGAGGUGAAAGCGCUCAGCUCAACUGAGCAACUGCCUUUGAAACUGUUAGUCUUGAAUGGUUGUGAAGUAGUUGGAAUGUGUAGUGUAGCGGUGAAAUGCUUAGAUAUUACACAGAACACCGAUAGCGAAGGCAUAUUACUAACAAUUAAUUGACGCUGAUGGACGAAAGCGUGGGGAGCGAACAGG
rnacentral:rRNA from 1 species